rnacentral:lncRNA from 1 species
CUAAAACUGAAAAUUUCUCUUACAUACCCCAGUUAUUCAUUUACAUUAGAAUGUUGAUGUUAAGUUUGCCUGUUAGGAUAAAAACUUGUUUAUGCAAUUACUGGAAUGCCUUCGGUCGAGAAAAUAAUGGCUUUAAAUACUAGAACUUUCAAGUACAAUUUAUUUUAUGUAUGUAAAUAUUUUCUUCUUGAGGUCUUUAAAGCUAUUUAAUUCAUGAUGAUCUCUAUUAAUUUUAUUCUAUUCAUUUUUUACACUAAAAAUUACCUAUUUGCUAGUGUUGCUUCCAUGACAAUAUAUUAAGUUGCAGAGUUUUUACAGAUACGAACAAUAUUGUGCUCAAAAUUGAGUGGAAAUUAAAUGAAGUGGGAAGCUCAAAAAUCAAAAGUUCUAUAAACUUAUCUUAGGGUGACUACGGCUUUAAUUUUAAAUAGCCUCAAAACUCUUCAAAAUGGAACAGAAUGAGAUUUGAAAAUGUAUACCACAGUGACUCCUUUUACUUGUAGUCAUUUUAAAAUAAUUUCUGCUCUUCUGCAUUGGUUUUGACUUACAAAGCAUACGUAAAAGAUCAUGGCACGAUGCUUUUGUUAAAUUCUCUUCGAAAAUAGUAUUUGUCUAUUCUAUAAUGGGUUCCUACUUAUCUCACAUAGAAACUUCUUUUAACAGAAAAGAAAAUAAACCAAGAAGUGGACCACUCAAGCCAAUUCUUUUGGUAGAUUUUCUUUGAAAAUUAAGCUUUUUAUUCUGAAAAAGUGUAAAAAUCUUACAUUAGAAUAGUACAAUAAUAAUUGCCAGUAAAAUUUACAAUACUCCUUGUAAAGAAUACGCAGUAAGUACAAAAUAAAAAUUCUGCAUGUCUAUUAUGAUACAAAACACAGGUUAAAAUAAAAAAUGAUGGUUUUGACUUUUUUCCUUGUGUAAACAUGUUCAUCAUUUUUUCCUUUUCAUGAAAGCGUACACCAGACAAGUGUCCUCAAAUAAAAAGUAUCUCUUCGCUGGCAUUCUUCGGGACCUUUACUAUUUUUGUAUUAUUCUUUCUUUGCACUUGAUUGACUGAUUUUUUUUUUUUAGCGCCUGGACCUGAGAAUCUCUAGACCUCAAAAAGGCUUAGAUUUUUAAAAACUUCCCCAAAGUCAAGGAAGCCCCUCGUGCUUAGACAGGACGCCACCCCCCCCACCCAGCACCCUCUUCCUCCCCACCGCGGUCGGUCGGGGGCUGCAGCACAGGGCGACUUUGCAUAAAUAGAGGGACCCGCAGAGCCCAAAGGCGCGCCCCAGCUGGUGCCAAACACUGUCUCGUCUGCGAAUCCGAAGCGGCGAAAAUGGGGCCGCGCCGGGAGGAGCGAACGAAACGCCGAGCCACCGAGACGGAAAGCGGCCGGGGUGCCUACCUUCUCCCGCUCGGGCGCGCCGGCGCCGCGUUAUUAACAAUUGGAAAUCCUAGCCGCGAAGCUCUCCACGCUGGACAGGGCGGGCCCCGGGUGCAGCGUCCCCAGCGCGGCCGACGACGAGACGGAGGAGGCGGCGGCGGCCGCGGCGGCCACGAGCGAGCGGCUCCUCCAGCUCGUCCUCCCCGGCGUACGAGCGCCGCCGCCGCCGCCGCUGCGCGGGGACCUCCAACCGCGCCCCGCCGCCGCCGCCGCCGCCGCCCUCGUCGUCGUCCUCCUCUUCCUCGUCGUCUUCGUCCUCGCCCUCCCCCACCACGUCGAUGUCUGUCUCCUCGGCGAGGCCCGAGGCAUCGGACAUCUCCGUGCUCAGGGUCAUGGCUGUGGCGCGGCGGCGGCGAGGCGGCUGUGCAUAGGGGCGCCGGGCUCCGGGCUCCCGCCGCGCCCCAGCCGGGGUCCCGGGCGGCGGGCCGGGCCGGGGGGCGCCACGCUGGGGGCG